rnacentral:lncRNA from 1 species
AACGUUUAAAAGAUCAUAUCUGCAAUGUUUGAAUGUAGAUGCUCUAGUAAACGGAAAGAUUACAUUCCCCCAUUCCAUUCUCAGCUUUGCCAUCACCAGGACACCCUCGCUUGCAACGAAUCCUCUCAGGUCCCGAUGAUGCCCCAAUACAACAUCGCCGGUCCGAUGAUGCUUCAUUGCAGCAUCAGCGGCCUCCGGCGAUGCUUCAGUACAACACCGACGGCCUGGUGACGUUUUGUAGCAACACCGGUGCCCUGUGGUGACGCUCCAUAGCAACACCGGCUUGUUGCGUUGCAGCCUCCCCGCUAGCACACAACACCACGCCCCGUUGCACCGCAGCUCCGCCACUCACCGCUUGUUGCACCGUAGCUCCAUCGACGACGCUUGGCACCAUGGCCGUUGCACUGCAGCACCUUCGCCCGCCACUGGCGUGUUGCAUUGCAGCUCUGUCGUCGCCGCGUGGCAGCAUGCUUGUAGAGCUGCAGCUCCGCCGCUCGCCGUUGUCAACUGCAUACUAACUGCGAAGGGAUUGAGGAGCUCCUCCAUCCACGGCUGCAAGACUGCAACGCGGGCGUCUAUAGCAUGGUGCCCGCUGCACACGCGGGGUUGCAGCUACGGCCGCAGCACCGGCACAGCCUCGCAGUGCAGUGGUCGACGGAGCUGUGAUAAAUCCUGUCUCUAGGAGAUGAAGAUGCAACUGAUGCUUCAAUGGAUCGCCAUGUUGUUAGGAUGGCGACGCUCGCAUGGUGCUGCAGAGGAUGGAGGUCACCAGUUGCAAAGGAUGGAGGUCAACCAACGCGGGGUAACAAAUGAGAGCUGGGCGGAAAUGUGCGAGGAGACAGGUAGGAGGUGACUGAGAAAAGAUA